UCCUCGGUAGUCUAAUGGCUUAGGACGCUCGUACGGAAUACAAGAGAUCCGGGUUUGACUCCCGGCCGAGGUA
rnacentral:tRNA from 1 species